CUUCACCUCCACGAUGUGAAGACGAGGCUGGUACUUGUGGAGCGACUGGAGCACGAUCAUCUGGAGCAGAGAGUCAGUUUCCAGUCAUGUGAACGUGCACCUGAUGUUUCCUCAACCCGCCCUUCUCGGAUCUGUUUGUCCAACCUGUCAGCCUGCUCCUGACCAUCGUCCUGACAAGGUGAGCUCAUAAGGGCACACACUGAAGUCAUCAGAGCUGACACGGGUGGCGAGAGGGCAACGGUGUGAGCGACACCGCCGCCGCCACGGCCAGCCAGGCGUGUCCACCCCGACCCCCACCACCUCCGGCAGGAGUCACCACUUCCUCUGCUCUGCUGUCUCUGCUUCCGGCUGCAGCCCCAGGACAUCACCUUGUGCAGCAAUCAGCUUUCAUUUUCUGCUGGAAGUGUUAUUAGCAGUAACCAGGCCGACGUCACAGAUCUAUUCUAGAUGCCCGGUGCAACAGCCGGCCAGCAACAGCAGCAGCAGGGGGAAGGAAUGCCGUCUGUCCGGAGGCCUGGGCAGAGUGAUCCCUGAUCCUGUUGGAGGAA